UUACGGCCAUAUCACGUUGAAACUCCGGUUCCUGUAUUAUCGCUGAAUUUAAGCAACGCUGAGCCUGGUCAGUACCUGGAUGGGGGACCGGUUGGGAAAAGCAGUUACUGUAAG